AGUAAGAUCAGCUAAGUAAGCUAUCGGGCUCAUACCCCGGAAAUGUUGGUUAAAUUCCUUCCCUUGCUA
rnacentral:tRNA from 1 species